rnacentral:misc_RNA from 1 species
AAUUCUCAACCUUCCAGCUUUUAUUAGCUUGGUUAGGCUUGGAUGUGGGGGUUGCUGGCUUCACUUAUAAGGUCAGCUCUCCUUAAAUGCAUUAGCGGAACUUUUGUGAACCGUCUAUUGGUGUGAUAAUUAUCUACGCCGUGGAUGUGAAGCAGCUUUAUGAAGUUCAGCUUCUAACAGUCCAUUGACUUGGACAAUUUUUGACA